rnacentral:rRNA from 1 species
UUUUUUGAGAGUUUGAUCCUAGCUCAGGAUGAACGCUGGCGACGUGGAUAAGGCAUGCAAGUCGAACGAUCGUCUUCGGACGAUAGUGGCAAACGGGUUAGUAACACGUAGGGAUUUACCUUGAAGUCUGGAACAACUUGGAGAAAUCCAAGUUAAUACUAGAUAGUCCCGCAAGGGUAAAAUUUCCAUCUUUGAUGGUUAUGCUUCAGGAGAAACCUGCGUCCUAUCAGCUUGUUGGUAAGGUAAUGGCUUACCAAGGCAAUGACGGGUAGGGGGAGUGAGAGCUUGGCCCCCAACAAUGGGACUGAGACAAGGCCCAUACACCUACGGGUGGCAGCAGUCAAGAACCUUCCACAAUGGGCGAAAGCCUGAUGGAGCGACGUCGCGUGAAUGAAGACGCUCUUCGGAGUGUAAAAUUCUUUUCUAGAGGAACAAUUUUGGCUUGCCAAAAUGAGCGUACUUUAGGAAUAAGGGGCGGCUAACUUCGUGC